AUUGAACGCUGGCCGCAGGCCCAACACAUGCAAGUCGAGCGCGAAAGGUCUUCGGGCUGCGUAAAGCGGCGGACGGGUGAGUAAUGCUUAGGAAUCUGCCUAUUAGUGGGGGGCAACAUUUCGACAGGAAUGCUAAUACCGCAUACGUCCUACGGGAGAAAGCAGGGGAUCUUCGGCCCUUGCGCUAAUAGAUGAGCCUAAGUCGGAUGAGCUAGUUGGUGUGGUAAAGGCCUACCAAGGCGACGAUCUGUAGAGGGUGUGAGAGGAUGAUCCGCCACACUGGGACUGAGACACGGCCCAGACUCCUACGGGAGGCAGCAGUGGGGAAUAUUGGACAAUGGGCGCAAGCCUGAUCCAGCCACGCCGCGUGUGUGAAGAAGGCCUUAUGGUUGUAAAGCACUUUAAGCGAGGAGGAGGCUACUUUAGUUAAUACCUAGAGAUAGUGGACGUUACUCGCAGAAUAAGCACCGGCUAACUCUGUGCCAGCAGCCGCCGUAA
rnacentral:rRNA from 1 species